CACGGACAGGUUGUGGGUCUCGGCGAAGCGGUAGAGGAUGUUGAGCACCGUGCUGCCGGCCGUCUUGUGCGUCUUCAGGAACAUGAUGUUGGUGACCGGCGGCCCCUCAGCCUGGCCCCCAAACAGGCUGGGAGGGGAGGCACACGCAGCCUUCAGCAAGGGUGCAGAUGCCCCAACCCCCGCCCAGCAGCGACCCCCAGCCCGGCAACCGCAAGGAGAGACCUCCCAACCUGAGCCCUCAACUCUAGGCCAGGGGCCCAACUG
rnacentral:lncRNA from 1 species